AAUUUGAAAUACUCAGAGCCCGGCUACCUUUUACUCAGACGUCGCCACAUGUAUGAGGCAGCCGUCGGCUGAUCUUAAUGAACUCAGAAAUCAGCGGAAAAUUUACUCAGACGUCAGAAAAUUCGGCACUCAGAGAACUCGAGUGCUUGAAGACGACAACUGAGUAAAGGAUGAUCAGUUUGUGCGAGGCGGUCGGACUUGGUUGUUUUCGUGCAGCAAAAAUUUGAAAAUUUACAUGGGUUCUGUGACGAAAGUGGUCCAAAUACAAUUGCCAUAACUAAAUCUAUUACGGCAUAAUGGGUCCCGGCCCGGGAGACAAAACCCGACGGGCGAAAAAAAUUUAAUUUUUUUUAAAAUAAAUGUGUAUGCACAACA